rnacentral:lncRNA from 10 species
CGCAGCCCCUGCACCUCGCUGCUCCUCGGCCCUCGCGGCCCAAACCUGGCCCUGCCGGGUCCCAGCCCCCAGUGGCUUUCGGGACAGGGGCGGAGCCGGGCACCGGUUCUGUUCCCCUAACCCUUGGCCUCUGGCCUGCUGGUAUAGAAGAGGCCGAGAGGCGGCGCCCGGGAGGGGCCAGCCCUGCGCCCGCGCCCCCCGCCCCCACGCCGCAGGAAGUGGCCCGGGCGGCCUAGGAAGGGGAAGAGCCGAGUUGCCCCAGCCCCGCACCCCCAGCCCCAGCCCCGCGUGCAGCUCGCACCCCUUCCCACGCCUGUUCGGGGGAGAGCCCCGGGCCUGGAGUGGGAAGCCUGGCUCCAGCUCUGGUUACCUGCAGUGACUCCCCAGGCCGUUUAGGCGAGUCCAUUGGGCCGCCUCUGCCUCGGUUUCCCCACCUAACCACGGAAGGUGCUCCUCCCUUCCAGGCAUCUGUGGUCUUCGAGCUCCACGCGGGAGAGGCGCCGGUCUGGCACCUCCUGCCCAGGGUCGGCGCCUCCUGGCUCUCGGGGAGGGGGGCAUCCUCCAUCCCCUGCACCUGCCUCGAGAGGAACCAGGGACAGAGCACCCCCACCCCCACCAGGAGCUCCGGAAAAACGGCUUCAGAAGAGCAAAUAUACACACACACCCACCUCCCGCCCCAAACAUCCCCGAAGAAAGGUAACCACAGAAACAGCCAGAAAUGUGGAGCUGGGCGAUCGUAUGAGGCUGAGACAAAACUGUCUUUCUAGCGUCUCUAGGGGAGAGCUUGAAUCCCUCCUUCCACUCCUCCUCCACGGAAAACAGAGUGAACUCCUGCUACAGAGGCCGCCAGAGCAACAUGCAAGACCAGCUUUGAGGGGAGCGGGCACAGGGCCUUGCAGGGAAGGAGUGUAUCUCUCUCAGAUGAGAUACAAGUUGGUCCCUUCCCUUGCGUCCCUCCUGUUCCUUCAAGAGGAGGACUGUCUACCCACCCCGAAGCUUCAUGGAGAGAGAGCACACCGUCGUUAUUCAAUAUGUAGUUUUGAAUUUAACUAGAGCAAAGAAGAAAGCAAAUUCAGGUGGAAGGAAGAAGAAAAGGGAAAAGGGCUGUCCCCAUCCUUCUAAGGAGAUGGUGCAGUGGCUCACCUUUGGGAGGCCGAGGCAGGCAGAUCACUUGAGCUCAGCAGUUUGAGACCAGCCUGGGUAACAUAGUGAAACCCCAUCUCUACAGAAAUUAAAAAAUUAGCCAGACAUGGCGGCGCACACCUGUGGUCCCAGCUACUCAGGAGGCUGCGGCAGAAGUAUGCCUUGAGCCAAAGAGGCAGAGAUUGCAGUGAGCCAAGAUCAUGCUACUGCACUCCAGCCUGGGCAACGAAGCAAGACUGUCUCAGGAAAAAAAAAAAAAAUGAUCAUUUUUCUCUGUCCACUUGGUGGGUCAACUGAAUGGUAUUCCUGUGUCUUCUACUCUCCUCCCACUUGGAAACCCACUGAGAUGCUCUUCCGAAGGCCAGUGCAUGCUGGGCCACACGAGACAGAGCUCAGGCUGGAGGAGCCUCAUACCCGCCCCUCUAGAUGCUUAUAAAAAUACUUCCCACCUUUGAAUCAAGUGGAAAAUGAGGCUCUCCAGUCAAAAGCCGCGACUGUAUAGAAAGCCCUGAGUUGCCCAAUCUGUUCACAUGGCAUCACCAACCUCUGUGUCAUCAUCAAGCUGUCCAGGGGACUCGAUGGCCACCUGGCCAGGAACUGCGGGCUGAUUGGAAGCUGUUGUUCCCAUUGUAUAAUCACACACAUCAUAAAAUAAUCAGUCUUGUCUCUAUUUACAAUUUUGAUGUUUUGUUCAUCACAAAUUUUUAUAUUAAUUUUUAGUUUAACAAACAUUGCACUAAAAUAAUGUUUCUCUUGAUGACCGAGUUUGGGUGCCCUUUCUAUUCUGUGUACAAGAUGAGAGCCUCACUGGCCUCCCCCAAUCCUGGCACUGCCGGAGGCUUUCCUGCGCCCCCUGUGUACUUGUAAGUGC